UAAUUUAAGCUCAGUCUACACUAUAUAUUUUAAUGUGACAAAAUAUAUGAGAGAUUUGCCCAAAUAUGGAUAUGGUAAUGUCUUAUCACUCCUACAGUAUACAUGAGUAUUGUGUGACAAAGCUUGAUAGAGUGGCUAAAGCUUUAAGUUCUGUUUACACUAUCAAAUUUUAUGUGACAAAUAUAUGCCCAUAAGGGCAUGCUGAUGUCAUACUUAUAUGGGCAUUUAUUUGUGACUUAAAGCUUGAUAAAGUCGCCAAAAAUCUUUAGGUUCUGUCCGCACUAUGAAAUUAUAGGCCUAUGUGACAAAUUAAUGUGAUGUCACAUGUGCACAUAUAUGGGCUUGAUUAUAUCAUGCUACAACUACAGUAUAUAUGGGAAUUUUGUGACAAAAAGCUUAAAGCUUUGUCUACACUAUCAAAUUUCAUCAAAAAAGUGUCACAUAAAAAUGUGAUGGAAAGUAAGAAAAUAAUAAAUAAAUAAAUAAGAAAAUUGAUCAUGUUCAACUUUUUUUGAUACAGUUUGAUAGUAUGGGUUAUGACAUCAUCGUACCCAUAUAUGGGCACAUCACAUUUUUUUGUCACAUAAAAUAUGAUAGUGUAGACAAAGUUUUAUAGAGUGGCCAAAAAGCUUUAAGUUCUGUGCACAUUAUCAAAUUGUAUGUGACCACAUAAUAAUGAUGCAUGAUGAUGUCAUAUUACACCAAUAUAUUGGGCAUUUUGUAACAUGGAGCUCGAUAAAGUGGCCAAAGCUUUAAGUUCCGGACACACUAUCACAUUUUAUGUAACAAAUUUAUGUGAUGUCCCCAUAUAUGGGCAUGAUGAUCUCAUAUUACACCUAUAUGUGGGCAUAUCACCAUUUUUUGUCACAAAAAAAAAAUAUUGUACAAAGGUUUAAAAUACAUUGAAUUUGCAUUUUCCAUUCUGGUAUUAUUACAGCUAGUUUCCCUUUUUUUCUAUUUAUUAUUUAGUCAUUAAUAAUAAUAAUAAUUGUUUUUUUCAUUUUUAUAUAUCGUAUUCCACUUAAUGUCCUAAAUUGGUUCACAUUCCUGCCAAUCUUUAAUUGUAAACAGUAACUUUUUCCACUCAUAGGAAAUAUUUCUAGUGAGGCAUCAGUAUUCACCAUAGACCUAAUACAUAACACGUAAACAAUUCACAGCCAGUGGCCUACCGGUUUAAUACUAAUACCAUAAAACCUUGAAUAAAAGCCCAUGGGCUUAGACUAGAGAAGAUGACAAUCCCCUCUUUAGUUUGCAAAAGUAAUUUCGAAAAGAAGCCCAUCUCGAAAAGGGGCCCACCUCGAGUAGAAGCCCAUCCAAGGGUCUUAAAGAAGUAAGAAGCCCAAUUGAAACAUUUUUACUGAUAGUCCAUAAAAUUCAGCUAUGCACGCAGUGUGAGGCAUUAUUCCUUUUGAGUGGGGUCUAGUGACUUGAAAAUACAACUAUAUAGUCAUGGCCUAGGUAUAGACGGGAAUGAUGUUCAUUUAUUGACAGAAGCCAGUCUAGACUACCUAGGCCCAAUCAAUGGUUUUAUUAUUUUACAAUCUCAAAAGUUUUACUGGUUGGCCAGUUAUUUUUACCGGUAAAAUUGACAGCUAGAACAGCUUCAGGAGAACACUGUGUGAUUUGGACUGAAAUGUUAUUGUUGAGAGUCUGAAUAUGUUAUUAUUUAGCAUAAGCUCUGAUAAAUUGUGUUUGGUGAAGUGAAUUGAUGAUUCCUGUUUGUCAGUGUCAUUUUAACAGUAUUAUUUUUCCUAAAUUUUUUACUAUUUUGUGGCUCACCAUCCCAAAACCAGUGUACUAAUUGUGUGAUAUACUUUAAUACUGAGAAGCUGUAAUAAUGUUGCUAAUUGUUAAAACUGAGUACAGUAUUAUAGAGAAGCUAUAAUAUUUUCACUCAUAAUUUUGGCAAUAGUACAUCAAUUGCAGUAAAUGACCGCUGGGAUUGGAUGCAGGAAGAUGCAGAUGGUGCAAUCACACUCCCCCCCCCAAAUUGUUUUAAGAAAAAUAAUUGUUGUAUUAUAUUGUUGAUAUGAAUUUACCACUAAGAUUUUUAAGAUAUGAGAGUGAAAUUUAGGGACACCCAGAGGUCCAUAUUCUCAAAAUUUUCUCACACAUCCCCUACUGCCAAAUCCUGUGUCCGCCCCACGACCCGUCAUUUUAAAGCUUACAAUGUGAAUAAUAAGAAUAUAUUUAAAUGUCAAUUUUCAUUUUUUUGGUCUAUGAGUCUGGUUUUUGGAUGGCAAGCCUCAUUUCUUAACAUAGUAUAGAGUGUAUUAUAAUUUUGUUUUACAAAUUGACAAAGAAUAUCUGACUCAAAAUCUUUAAUAUCUAAGGUCUACAAUUUUUUUUUUUUUUUUUUUUUAACAUUUCCUUUUUUUCCAAGGAAGAGCCCAGUGUACUACCAAAAGUAUGAAAAAGAUAUUAAUCCAUUUAAAACCUUAUAUCAAUGGUCAAUAGGUAAGGCACCAUUUCAGCAUUUUUUUUUUACCUGUCUAAAUGAAAUAUAACAGUACUAUAUUAAAUAUUAAUAUAAUAAUAAAAUUUACUCACUGAAGUUAUAUUUAAGCAAUAUAGUAUAUUUACAGUUCGCAACAAAAAUAUUUUAUUCGACCGAUGACGAGAGUACAUUAAAUAAAUUCUUAUUAUUGUAAUAGUCGAUACUAAUGUACAAAAAAAAUGGUAAAAAUGUGGUUGAACUGCAAUAAUUUCAAUAUUUAAAACAAAUCUUGAGUAAGAAUAUAUAAACCAAAAAUAUAAUUUAAUGAAUAUUUUGACGUAUAAGACAGUAUUUAAAUGAUUGCAUAAGAUUAUAUAAGGUUGUAUGAUUAUAUAUCAUAUAUACUUAAUUAUGGAUAUGAUAAUACACAAUAUUAAUGAUCAUGUAAUAUAUAUUAUUCAUUUGCAAUCCUGAUUGGGUGAUAUAAUUAAAAAGUAAUGCAAGAAGAAUCUGCCAAACCAACAAUCAUUCAAAUUACUUAAAUUUUUUACUGACAAAUUGUUUACUGCACAAUAUAGUUUAAUUAUGAUAUGUAUAUAUUGGUAUUUUCAUUUUGAUGACUGGUGAUUUCAAGGUUGGCCAAACUACUGUACUUACAAGCUAGCUAAGCUAAUUUUGUAAAUCACUACUUGUAUGCAAGAUUCAUUUAUUGACUUGUCCAUAAAAAAAAAAUACAGAUGUAUAUUAAAAUGAAUAUUACGGUGAAUCAAUUAUAACUUGUAAUAGAGUAGAUUGGAUAAUAACAAAAGGUGGGGUAGAUGGUGUUUGUUGGUUAAGAUGCUUACCUUCCGUAACAGGGUUCCGCAUUUAAAUGCAAGAACUUUUUCUGAAAACAAAAUUCAUUUAAACUCCCCUAAAAUCCUGUUUAGACUAUCAAAUUUUAUUUUACAAAAAAACUGUUGUAUGCCCACAUAUAGUCAUGAUGUGACUAUAUAUGGUCAUGAUGGGAUGUCAUCAUGACCAUAUUUAGGCAUAUCACAUUUUUUUAAAAAUAAAAUUUGAUAGUCUGGGUAGGGCCUAAGCCAGGCAUACACUGUCAGAUUUUUGUUUGACAGACUUUUACAAUGUUUGAUCAGACCUGCUAUGGUAGAAUAGAGUAUUGUACUUCACUGAUAGGAAAAGUUGUGAUUUAUUUGAAACUACUAUACAAUAUCAAACAUUUUUCUGUCAAGUCUGACAGAUAAACAUGUUAUAGUGUGUGUCCAACUUUGAAGGUGAAGGGAGUGCAGUUGUGUUUCGUUGUUUUUAAGCCUCCCUUAUUUAAAGCUUUGUCCACACUAUUAAAUUUUCUUUGACAAAAAAAACUGUUGUAUGCCCAUAUAUGGUCAUGAUGUGCCUAUAUAUGGUCAUGAUGUGCCUAUAUAUGGUCAUGAUGUGAUGUCAUCAUGACCAUUUAGGCAUGUCACAUGUAUUUGUCAAAUGGAAUUUUAAUAGUCUGAACAUGCAUUUAGAGAACAUUAUAGUAGUUGUACAGUACUUGUUGUUAUGUAAGAAUGAAAAAAAAAAAUACCAGCACAAAACAUGCAACCCAUUACCUCUGCCAGUCACUAUUUUAUUAGCAUUGAAACUGGAAAAUGUUUGAUAAAUAUAACUGCCAUAAUUUUUACAAUGAUGACAUUUUUAAAUGACUUUGUUUCCAAUCAAUCAAUCAAUUAAUCAAUCGACCAAUCAAUCAUUAGUACUUAUGUAGUACUAUAAAUCGUGGCGCAAUAAAUAUUCGCACAAACAUUAAUGUUCGUUUUCCAUCACCAGUGAAAGCUUGUUUAUACCGUUGUGUUUGGAUAACCAUGUCAUAGAUAAUUUUUAGACUGUAGGUAAAAAAACAUCGCUAAAUAUAUUUUGUUUUCGAAAUGGAUGUAACAGUUUUUAUUUAUAUAAGAAGGAAUCAGUUUCCAAAUGUAGUCAUUAUAAAUAACACAUCAUAGAUGCAAACAGUUAUACAGUAUAUGACUUUGUUACACUGAUAGUUUCUAGAUUCUCUUCAGUGUAAACUUUUGUGUUUGUAAAGGGUCAUUCUGUGUCAAAUCAAAUAAGAAUAUUCCUCUCCUUAGAUUUUAUUGUAUUAUUUUAGGAAAUCAAGUUCUCAUAAUCUAAAAAGCUCUGAUAAGGGCAGUAUAAUAGAGGCAGUAGAUCAAAUUAAUCAAUCAGCCUCAUGAGGGCAGUAUAAUAGAGGCAGUAGACCUAAAAAGAGAACUAUAAAUAUAUCAGCCUGAUGAGGUGAGUAUAAUAGAGGCAGUAGUGCUAUAAAGAUCUAUUAAUCAUUCAGCCGAGUGUUCCUAGAGCUCCUCAUUGGAGCUAAAAGUGAAAAACAGAAAUUUUUAAAAUCCUUUGCUCUAGGCCAUUUAAAUAUUGAAAUACACAGUAUGGAAUUAUUAGCAAUACUUCACACAUUAAACCAACCACCUCAGAAUGAAUACCACCUAUACUGCUAGUUCUGGUGUAUAUUUUUAGGCAUCAUAAUUGCUGCCUCCUAAUCAACCAAAAAAAAGUUGUGUAUUAUAAAGUUCAUUUUUUUCUCUAAUUCAUCAUCUGAUUUAUGUCGGGGUAAAUAUUGAUGUAAACAAGCUUUCCUUUAAAGUUGGUGAUGGGCAUUAAUUUUUUUAUAGUCAUACUUUAUACGUUUUUGAUUAUUAUUAUUAUUUUUACUGUUUUUGUUAUUUAUUACUAUUACUUUUUUUAGUUAUUAGGGAGAUUUCGCACCCUUACGAAAACGAUAACGCGAGUACGUCAUUGUCGUUAUCGUCAUUCGUGACAAAAAAAUUCUCAAAAUUAUGCUGUAUGAGCUGUAUAUGAUCCUUGAUAAAGGCAAAAGGCAUGAAUCGCCUUCUUUGUGACAACUAUGAUAGAUGCUGUAUGGGAAGGGUUGUUUCAGAAAUUGAUGACGUAACCGUAUUCGUUAUCGUUUUCGUAAGCUUGCGAAAACUCCCUACUACAGUAUUAUCAUUAUUGUUGUGGGACUGUUUAAUUGUUAAUAAACCAAGCACAAUGAUUAACUUACUGCGAGCUUUCGUCGAUGUUAUCAACAUGGCUUUAUCAGGUUAUGCGAGCCUAACAAUUGACCUUUCCGGCGGAGUGUCAAUCAAACUUAACAACUGAUUAAUCAGAACAGCGCUAGGAAUACGCGCGUGUUUCACACACAUGUGUUGUCCCACAAACGCACGUGUUCGCGUAUGUUUUAACCACUGAUUUCUACUAUAAUAGAUUACUUUUUGUGGAACCGUAGCAACAAUAUCUAAGGGGCGGAGCUUAGCAGAAAGGUCAAUUAAACGAUUAAUGAUUAAACAUUCCAACAACAAUAAUACGCAAACCAGAUGAAACUAUUCAAAUAUUUAUUGUUAUUGUUGUUGCAGUACUUGAUAUUUUAGCAAUUUAUGAUAUUGUACAACAGUAAGAAAGUUCCAAAAACCAAACUCACUGCCCAUACAAGAAUUGAAUAUUUUGAUUUAGAUAAAAGCUUUGAGGGAAAUAUGAUACUUUAGUGGUGCAUGUUCAAUAUAUUGUAGCUAUUAUGAAAUUAGCUUAUACUGAAUAUAUAAUUUUAGCAAUUUAUAAUAUUGUACAACAGUAAGAAUUAAGCUCCCAAAACCAAACUCACUGCCCAUACAAGAAUUGAAUAUUUUGAUUUAGAUAAAAGCUUUGAGGGAAAUAUGAUACUUUAGUGGUGCAUGUUCAAUAUAUUGUACGGUAGCUAUUAUGAAAUUAGCUUAUACUGAAUAUAUUAAAUGUGCUUUAUUAUACAGUGUCUUAGUAAAGAAGUUCACUUGCUUUGAAUGAAUAGAUUAGUAGUUACAGUAGUUUUAAUAUGUCCUACAAUUGGAAAUUGGGGAUAAUAUACAUCAAGGCAUGCUGGCUAAAUACCGUAAAACCUUGAAUAGAAGCCUCAUGAUCUUAAUCUCAAAAAGAAGCUCCCUUCUUUAGUUUGCAAAAGUAUUCUCGAAAAGAAGCCCAUGGGCUUCUAAUCAAGAUGGGUUUGUUUCGAGAUAAUAUUUCCACAAUAACAUUCAGACUGACGUUAUCUUUGAUUAUUGUGAUAACUUGUCAGUACCAAUAGUAUUUUAUUGUAUUAGCGAGGUUAAAAUUUACAAAUAUUAAACAAGAAUUUUGAAUUCCAUGGUUGAAAAGUGUUGUAUACUGUUAGUAGCAUUAAUUUUGAAAAGAACCCCCUUUUCUCGAAAAUUAAACAUUGACCACAUAUUGAAGAGAAGAACUAUAAGCCAGAAAAUGUCUGCUUCUACAUUUAUUUUAGAAAAGCUCUUCAAAUGUUUGAGGUAAAGAUGAAUGGAGUAUCAAUUGUAUGAUACAUCCUGCCAGUUACUAAACUGAAGUUAAUGGUAUGGGAAUCACACCCCCAAACGGCUUCACUGAACCACAGCUAUUGUUGCAACUAUUUUCGUACAUGUAAAGAUAGGUUGUAUCUUGUAAUACAUAUAAACAACACAAUAUUUCCACCUCCCCGGUUUUGACACUAAAUCUUUAAAAUUUCAAUGCAUAUCAGUAUUAUGUGUUACACAUUUACCUGUUCUAAAGCUUUGGUGCCCCCACCCCGUUUCCAAAAGUUUGGAUCCACUCCUGAUAUUUACUUUUUUUUCCAAAAGCAAAUCAAAAUUUGCUUAGCACUCAAAUCUUGAUAUUUAUUAUAAUAGGCAUAAUCGUUUACCGAUGGCUUUUAAGCUUAAAGAAACAUAGGUUUUUGUAACAAAAUAUUAUAAAUAUGUAUAUUUUAUUCUUAGCAGUAUUUAAUCUUGGUUCGCUUUAUAACAAUUUAGACACGUUAUGCAAGUACAAGUGACCAUAAUCGUUUUUCAGUUUGAACCAAAUUCAAAUUACGUAUGUACCUCAACCGAUUUGCUAGCUAGUUAUUUCUAGCACACUCACAGAAACUAAACGCAGGUGAAAUAUUUCACAAGAGGGAGAAUGAGAUGAGAGUGGAAUGUCCUUGUCUGGUAAUUUUUUACACAUUUUUAUUUAAAAUAACAAUGUUUUUAAUUUUUAUAUUGCAAUACCGUAUUAAAUUGAAUAUUUAUAUAAGUAUAAAGGCCAACUCAGACAGCGUUGUGCAGUGCAACGCAGUCCGACGCGAUUUGUUGUCGCAUAGGGUCUGUCCCCGACGAUGAAUCGCUUCGGGCUGCGUUGUACGAUGCUGUCUGAGUUGGCCGUUUACACGACAGGAUGAUGAUAUUAUAAUAUUGUGAUUGAUAAUAUUGGUGUCAUAUUUUUUCAAGUAAAAUGCGAGGUUGAAUGAAUAAAAUAUCGGAUAGAAUAAA
rnacentral:lncRNA from 1 species